rnacentral:misc_RNA from 1 species
UCACUCGCCGUUACUAAGGGAAUCCUCGUUAGUUUCUUUUCCUCCGCCUAGUGAUAUGCUUAAGUUCAGCGGGUAACCACGCUUAAGCUGAGGUUGAGAAUUCAAAGAAAUCGCACAACACAUUAGACAAGCGCAGGCAGCCCUUUAGCGGAUUCAUCCUGCCGAAUCCAGGCAUCACCCGCACGCCAACGCAUUGCGUCUGUACUUGAGAUUCAUCCCCAUUUCGGGAACGUUUCUCGUGGUGUACAUGCAUCCAAAUCUAAGAGAGGGCGCGAACGCGCUCUCCGACCCAACACCGUACAAGCAUCGGCGCAAUUGAGUUCUGUAAAACAACCCUCAGCCAAACGUGCCGACGGGAGCAAACCCGCGGCGCAAUGUGCGUUCGAAAGUUUAGAGCUCAAUGUGUCUGCAAUUCGCUCUAAUUAACGCAGCUGGCUGCGUUCUUCAUCGACCCAUGAACCAAGUGAUCCACCGCUAGGACUGAUUGUCUUUAUUCAUAAGCGUUACCGUUUCCGGUCAACACCUUUCAAGAUAUUCCAGAGUAUGAAAAAAGAGUUUUGCUGGCGGCACCCUAGCUAGUGCUCAUUGAGUCUCGCCGCAAGGGCGUAAGCUCCCACACUUCAUCAUGACCGACGGCACACAAGCUGCAGUCACUCUGCGCAGGCGUAGACACCAGCGAAGGCCGUUGAUUGCGCGGACGCACGCCCCUCAAGCUGGGCGACAUCCUAUAAGGUUCGGAUCUGUAACUUUUAAUCGUUAAUGAUCCCGCUGCAGAUUCCUCUACAGCGGCCUUGUUACGACUUUUGCCCGGUUCAAGCCACUGCGAUUAAGACGAUUUCCAUCACAUGGAGACACAAGUGCCUCGCAGUAACAGUCCUCGCGUUUCUCGAAACGGCUCAGUCCCGGGCAGCGACGGGCGGUGUGUACAAAGGGCAGGGA